GAGGAGCUUACUGGUAGAGUAUGUGCUUAGCAUGCAUAAGGACCUGGGUUCAAUUCCCAACAGCAUCA
rnacentral:tRNA from 1 species